GACGAAGGGGGCUAGCGUUGCUCGGAAUCACUGGGCGUAAAGCGCACGUAGGCGGACUCUUAAGUCGGUGGUGAAAUCCUGGAGCUCAACUCCAGAACUGCCUUCGAUACUGAGAGUCUCGAGUCCGAGAGAGGUGAGUGGAACUGCGAGUGUAGAGGUGAAAUUCGUAGAUAUUCGCAAGAACACCAGUGGCGAAGGCGGCUCACUGGCUCGGUACUGACGCUGAGGUGCGAAAGCGUGGGGAGCAAACAGG
rnacentral:rRNA from 1 species